rnacentral:tRNA from 1 species
GCGGGAGUAGCCUAGACUGGUCAAUGGCGCCGGCUUGAGGGGCCGGUUCCUUAGUGGAUUCGCCGGUUCAAAGCUUUUUGCGCCAAUGCGCAUACGCCUUCGUGCAUCUUCGAACGAUUGCGUUCGAAGUAUUUCGGACGCAGUCCGAAAACGAAGGCGCGCGUUUCGAAAUUCCGGCCUCCCGCACCA